AAGCUGAACUGGGCUCCCCGUUGCAUUUCUAAUUCAAUGAUAAUUUAAAACUGACUCCAGUUUCUCCUAUAAUGCUGUAUUCCUUUUAUCAGGAAUUCCAGGUUCCUUUCUCCUGUUUCCUGGGAUUUGCAAAACAGCAAAAUCAGCCAGUUUACAUUUAAGAUGUUUUGAUUCUUUUCUCAGACUUUUGCCAGUGUACUUAACGCAGAAUGAUUAAAAGCUGUGUGUUCUGUUAGAACUGUUAUAGUGUUUAAACAAGGAAGUCUGUGUUUGUUUAAGAGAAUGGGGAAAUGGUUAUCUUGACAGAUUAGACUGAAAAAACAGGACAGCCACAGUCUAGCACAGAUGUCCACAUUUGCCACUUGGCUGGCUUUUUGAGGUAUUCUAAACAAAAGUGGCUUGUGUGCUGGUGCUGGAGCUCUGCUUGGCACCUGACUGAGGAAUGUGAGUCAGAGUCACUGCCAGGCCCUGGGUGUCUUUGUGGGCACGUGUUCCCAGGUUUGAAAUUUUUCAGAGUCUGUUUAACUGUGUCAUAAUUAAUGGAACACAGGAGGGAUUUCUCUUGCUGGCUUCCACACCCCGUUCCAGGGUGAUUUCAUCUCACAUCACACGUGGUUCCUGUGGCUUCACUGAGCAGAAGCCCCGGGGAUGACCAUCUUCAUCCAUCUUUUACAAGCUUGAUCUUUAACUGGAGGAAACAUGAGGGGCAGCUGUGGUUAAGUGGCAAACGCAUGGGAAGAAAAUUCAGGACCCCUGAGUCCAGCCAGAGCUCUCCCACUUGCUAGCUGCUUGGUCUUGGUCGGGUCCUCAUUUUCCCUCCUAGGGUCGUGCAGCUGUGGUGGAUGAGACGGAUGAGGGCAGCCCAUGCUUAGCGAGCCUGCCCUGUGUGCUUGGCCCUGCUGCAGGCUCUGCACGUGGUGCCUCGUGCUCUCCUCCAAAGAGCUUGCUGAGGUGGGUACAGUAGCUGUGCUGUGUCCCACAGCUUCUCAGAAAAACUGAGAACUCGACUCAAAGUCAGGUUAGGUGGUAUGGAGCACACCGGCUCGGAUGUUUGAACGCAGGUCCGAUUAGUAAACUCAUCUGCAUUUCGGCUUUCUCAGGCACCCUGAACUUCAAGGUGUUUAUAGUGCUAAAGAAUCUGCCUGUCAAUGCCAGAGGUGCAAGAAACAUGGGUUUGAUCCCUUGGUCGGGAAGAUUCCCUGGAGUAGGAAAUGGCAAUCCAUUCCAGUAUUCUUGCCUAGAAAAUUCCUUGGAGAGAGAAGCCUAGCAGGCUACAGUCCAUGGGGUUGCACAAGAGUUGGGCACAGCUGAGUACAACACAGCACACACACUCCUUGGAUUGCAUCAAUGG
ensembl:lncRNA